rnacentral:rRNA from 1 species
CAGCAGCCGCGGUAAUACGAAGGGGGCUAGCGUUGUUCGGAAUCACUGGGCGUAAAGGGUGCGUAGGCGGAUUCUUAAGUCAGGGGUGAAAUCCCGAGGCUCAACCUCGGAACUGCCUUUGAUACUGGGGAUCUUGAGUCCGGAAGAGGUGAGUGGAACUGCGAGUGUAGAGGUGAAAUUCGUAGAUAUUCGCAAGAACACCGGUGGCGAAGGCGGCUCACUGGUCCGGAACUGACGCUGAGGCACGACAGCGUGGGGAGCAAACAGGAUUAGAUACCCCCGUAGUCCCUGUCUCUUAUAC